AUUGAACGCUGGCGGCAGGCCUAACACAUGCAAGUCGAGCGGAUGAAGGGAGCUUGCUCCUGGAUUCAGCGGCGGACGGGUGAGUAAUGCCUAGGAAUCUGCCUGGUAGUGGGGGAUAACGUCCGGAAACGGGCGCUAAUACCGCAUACGUCCUGAGGGAGAAAGUGGGGGAUCUUCGGACCUCACGCUAUCAGAUGAGCCUAGGUCGGAUUAGCUAGUUGGUGGGGUAAAGGCCUACCAAGGCGACGAUCCGUAACUGGUCUGAGAGGAUGAUCAGUCACACUGGAACUGAGACACGGUCCAGACUCCCACGGGAGGCAGCAGUGGGGAAUAUUGGGCAAUGGGCGAAAGCCUGAUCCAGCCAUGCCGCGUGUGUGAAGAAGGUCUUCGGAUUGUAAAGCACUUUAAGUUGGGAGGAAGGGCAGUAAGUUAAUACCUUGCUGUUUUGACGUUACCAACAGAAUAAGCACCGGCUAACUUCGUG
rnacentral:rRNA from 1 species